CCUACGGGCGGCAGCAGUGAGGAAUAUUGGUCAAUGGGCGAGAGCCUGAACCAGCCAAGUCGCGUGAGGGAGUACUGCCCUAUGGGUUGUAAACCUCUUUUGUCGGGGAGCAAAAGCCGGACGUGUCCGGCUGUGAGAGUACCCGAAGAAAAAGCAUCGGCUAACUCCGUGCCAGCAGCCGCGGUAAUACGGGGGAUGCGAGCGUUAUCAGGAUUUCUUGGGUUUAAAGGGUGCGCAGGCGGAUUUUUAAGUCAGCGGUCAAAGCGUGGGGCUCAACCCCAUCCAGCCGUUGAAACUGGGGAUCUUGAGUGUGCGAGAGGUAUGCGGAAUGCGUGGUGUAGCGGUGAAAUGCAUAGAUAUCACGCAGAACCCCGAUUGCGAAGGCAGCAUACCGGUGCACAACUGACGCUCAGGCACGAAAGCGUGGGUAUCGAACAGGAUUAGAUACCCUAGUAGUC
rnacentral:rRNA from 1 species